rnacentral:rRNA from 1 species
UUUGAAGCUGGUGGAUUUGUGAGGGUAGCAUAUGUUGCAGGUGUUUGUUUAAUAAGACCUGGCAACGAUUCCCCAAAACAUUUGGUUUAUGGUUCUCAGAGAGAUGAAAAUUUGAAUAUAGAGGGAAUUGAAACAAUUCCUAUUGAUUCUAUAAAUUGGUAUGCGUCACAUGGUUUCAACUAAGCCUUAAUCAUAUUCAACGUUAAGUUGAUACUUAAUUCUCCAGUACAAUAUAGAAUGUUCGAGUAAGCAGGCGUGCUUUUUGUGUAGAAGCUUCUUCGAGAGAAGGAGUGGAACGAAAAGCAAUGAGAAUCCUGGUGGUAGUAGGAUGUGAUUUUCCUGAGAAUGGAAAACGUCGAAAGGGUAAGGUUUCCUUGGCAAUAUAUUUUAGCCAAGGGUUAGUCAGCGCCUUAGUCGUAUCUUAACUGAGUACGACGAUGGACAACAGGUUAAUAUUCCUGUACUGAUUAAAUUUUACAUGAUAUGAAAUGCUUUCGGAUAAGCAAGCACUCGAGAGGGUGUUCUGAUAAAGAAAUUUUGGGAGCGUAAUGCUUAGAUCUUUAUUAAUUUGUCAGACAAAAUUGCUGACUCCAGGAGCCAGUGAAAAGCCAUAUUGUUAAACGGAUUUAGUCAGCUGUACCCACAACCGACACUGGUGCCCUAGCUGAGAAGGCUAAGACGUGAAAGGUGAAACCAACUAAGGGAACUCGGCAAUUUGGUCCUGUAGCUUCGGCUGAAGGGAUGUCUAUCUUUGUUCUUCUAGAAAUAUUGGAGCAUUGGUAGAUCACAGUAACAAAGAUGGCCCGACUGUUUACCAAAAACGUAGCCGAGCGCGAAUCCGAAAGGAUGUGUAUGCUCGGUGAGACCUGCCCAGUGGUGGUGUGUCAAACUCUUUUUCAAAGGAGCUAAGCCCCAUCAAACGGCGGGAGUAACUAUGACUCUCUUAAGGUUUCAGUAACUUGAAAGUGGUUACAAACGUGGCCUUACGGUUUUCUCGUUUUAUCGACGGGAAAAACGCUUCAAGAGUCAGAGAAAGUAAAUAGUUAAAUGAAAUUGUGCUUCGCAAGAUUGAUAAGAAAUGUUAAUGUAAAAUUCGCGGGGUUUUGUUAUUAGCAAUUUAGACUAAUCGAGCAACAGCGAGCAAUUAAGAGUUACAGAAUUAAAAUAAGAGUUAAACCAAAGAAGAAAAUCGAGCUAUAUGCUGGAACGUCCGAGAAUAUUUGAGUACCGUCGAGAAAUUGAUGGUAAAAAUCUCAAAUUGCGGACAACCAUGCAGGAAAGACUAGAAUUAGUUAUUAUUUUAAAAAGGUAACAAAGAGAAAGGUUUAUAAAGUGUUUUUCUAUUAAAAAAUCAUGACAUAUGAAUUAUACGCGUAUGCUACUAGAGCAGAUGAUGGAACACUUAGAAUCCUUCAUACAAAUGAUGUAUAUAAGAGUGAAUCAGUAUCUUUAACAUCUAGAGGAAGAUAUAGAAUACCUGUAUGUGGUGAUAAGGAGACAAUAGAAAGAUAUGGUAAUUUUUUUCCUAGAGAAAAUACUGAUCAUGAGUUAGUUGAUGUUAGACCUCUUUUAGAGUCUAAUGUUUUAUCAAAAGAUUCUUUAUUAGAUAUCUCAUUAGGAACUGAAAAGCUUGAAGAUAAAUUAAGAAAAAAUUAAUUCUAGAAUCCUCAGACACUAAUACGCUCGACACAAUUUAUAUAAAAUCUAACAUAUUUCAGAAUUAGUGGAAAUAGAAUAUUCUAAGCAUUGGUUGAAGAAAAAACUCAAGAAGAGAAAAGAUAUAACCAAUGAUAUGAUAGAGUAUGCUCUUAGCAAUUCAAAAGAACUAAGAGAUAAAGAGUGGAAAGAUGCUUUAAAUGCAAUUUCCAAAAUUCCACAAUCUGGAAGAACUUUAAAAGUCGUAUAUAAAAAAUCAAAAGGAAAAGUAUUUAUAAUUACGGCAUUUUGGUUAAAUUAAUAUGAAAGCAAAAGAAAUAUGGUAUGAUGACGAAGCAGACGUGCUCAAUGUAGAAAUAAAUGAUAAAGAUUAUUGGAAAAGCAUUGAGAUUGGAAACGGAGUAGUUAUAGACAUAGCAAAAGAUGGUUCAAUGACAUCCAUUGAGAUAUUAAAUGCUAGCAAGCUAUUUCGUGGAGAAGCACGAAAAGUCAUUGAAAGUGCAAAAUCUGUUUCUGAAGAAUAAGUUGUGAAGAUAGAGUGCGAUCUUUAUGGCGACAUAAAGCAAAAUAAUUGAGUGAUCAAUUAUUGAACAACAAAUAUAAGCGUAAUGCCUUGUCGUCUGAAUGGCGACGUGCAUGAAUGGUUUAACGAGGUUGUCCCUGUCCCUAGUUGGGACCUUCUGAACACACUUCGUGGCGAAAAUGCCACGGACACCUAGUGGGAAGCGAAGACCUUGUGGAACUUUACUGCAACUUGUUGUUGUAAUUUUAAGAGAUACACAUAGAAUAAGUAGGAGCGUAGAAGUCGUAAUUUAGGUUGCGAUGGAGCGAAAGUGUAAUACUACUUGUUUUUCUUAAUUUUGCUUACUCUUUAUGAGAACAGUAACAGGCGGGCAGUUUGGCUGGGGCGGCGCCCUGUCGAAAAAAUAUCGAUAGGACCCUAAGACAAGCUCAUCCGGCUUGGAAACCCGGAGUUGAGUGCGAGGGCAAAAGCUUGUCUGAAUGUAUUCUGAUUAGCAAGGAAUGCAUGAUCGAAAGAUUGGCCUAGUGAACCCACGUGCUUUUUUAAUAGAAGCCGUGUCUGAUAGAAAAGUUACCCCAAGGAUAACAGGCUUGUCGCCCCCGAUAGUCCAUAUUGACGGGGCGGUUUGGUACAUCGCUGUCGGCUCUACCUAUCCUGCGCGUGCAGAAGCGUGCAAGGGUGUCGGAGUUCACGCAUUAAAAGGUAUCGUUAGCUGGGUUAAGAACGUCGCGAGACAGUUUGUAUGAUAUCUACUAGGUGUGUUGUUGUCUGAGUGUAACGAGCUUGUAGUACGAGAGGAACCAGGCUCGGACGCCUCUGGUGAGCAGUUGUCAAAUGGCAGGCUGCAUAGCUACGCGUCAUCUGGAUAAGAGCUGAAUGCAUCUAAGCUCGAAGCCACACGCAAAACGAGACAACUAAGGCCGUCGUAGAAGACGACGUUGAUAGAGUUGCUGUGUAAGAUUCAAGCUUCGGCGAGAAUUUCAGCAGACAACUACUAAAAGCUUUAUUGAGAUUUUGU